rnacentral:rRNA from 1 species
UGGAUCUCAAAUCAGACAAGAUGACCCGCU